GAGAGAGGCUUGCUAGCAACAAAGACUGCUAAUCUUUGUAGUUUCGGUUGGACUCCGGAACUCCCCCA
rnacentral:tRNA from 1 species